rnacentral:rRNA from 1 species
UACGUAGGGGGCGAGCGUUGUCCGGAUUUACUGGGCGUAAAGCGCGCGCAGGCGGCCCUUUAAGUCUACCCGUGAAAUGCCGGAGCUCAACUCCGUGCACGCCGGGGGAUACUGGGGGGCUGGAGACAUGUAGAGGCAAGCGGAAUUCCGGGUGUAGCGGUGGAAUGCGUAGAGAUCCGGAAGAACACCUGAGGCGAAGGCGGCUUGCUGGGCAUGAUCUGACGCUGAGGCGCGAAAGCGUGGGGAGCAAACAGG